rnacentral:rRNA from 1 species
UACGAAGGGGGCUAGCGUUGUUCGGAAUCACUGGGCGUAAAGCGUAUGUAGGCGGAUCGUUAAGUCGGGGGUGAAAUCCCGAGGCUCAACCUCGGAACUGCCUUCGAUACUGGCGAUCUUCGAGUCCGGGAGAGGUGAGUGGAACUCCGAGUGUAGAGGUGAAAUUCGUAGAUAUUCGCAAGAACACCAGUGGCGAAGGCGGCUCACUGGCCCGGUACUGACGCUGAGGUGCGAAAGCGUGGGGAGCAAACAGG